GAUGAAGAACGUAGCAAAAUGCGAUAAGUAAUGUGAAUUGCAGAAUUCAGUGAAUCAUCGAAUCUUUGAACGCACAUUGCGCCCGCCAGUAUUCUGGCGGGCAUGCCUGUUCGAGCGUCAUUUCAACCCUCAAGCACAGCUUGGUGUUGGGACUCGCGUUAAUUCGCGUUCCUCAAAUUGAUUGGCGGUCACGUCGAGCUUCCAUAGCGUAGUAGUAAAACCCUCGUUACUGGUAAUCGUCGCGGCCACGCCGUUAAACCCCAACUUCUGAAUGUUGACCUCGGAUCAGGUAGGAAUACCCGCAGAACUUAAGCAUAUCAAUAAGCGGAGGA
rnacentral:misc_RNA from 1 species